rnacentral:rRNA from 1 species
GCUUACGACCACACCGGCCUGAGUACGCUGAUCUCGUCUGAUCUCGGAAGCUAAGCAGGGUCGGGCCUGGUUAGUACUUGAUGGGAGACCGCCUGGGAAUACCAGGUGCUGUAAGCU